GAGCGGUAUUGUUUCUUCGGAAACGAGGGAGCGGCGCACGGGUGCGGAACACGUGUGCAACCUGCCUUUAUCUGGGGGAUAGCCUUUCGAAAGGAAGAUUAAUACCCCAUAAUAUUUUGAAUGGCAUCAUUUAAAAUUGAAAACUCCGGUGGAUAGAGAUGGGCACGCGCAAGAUUAGAUAGUUGGUAGGGUAACGGCCUACCAAGUCAGUGAUCUUUAGGGGGCCUGAGAGGGUGAUCCCCCACACUGGUACUGAGACACGGACCAGACUCCUACGGGAGGCAGCAGUGAGGAAUAUUGGACAAUGGGUGAGAGCCUGAUCCAGCCAUCCCGCGUGAAGGACGACGGCCCUAUGGGUUGUAAACUUCUUUUGUACAGGGAUAAACCUUUCCACGUGUGGAAAGCUGAAGGUACUGUACGAAUAAGCACCGGCUAACUCCGUG
rnacentral:rRNA from 1 species